AACGCACCUUGCGCCCUUUGGUAUUCCGAAGGGCAUGCCUGUUUGAGUGUCAUUAAAUUAUCAACCUUGCUCGCUUUUACCGGCUUGAGUGAGGCUUGGAUGUGAGGGCUUGCUGGCUUCCUUCAGUGGAUGGUCUGCUCCCUUUAAAUGCAUUAGUGGGAUCCUUUGUGGACCGUCACUUGGUGUGAUAAUUAUCUAUGCCAUAUGACUUUGAAGCAAACUUAUGGGAACCCGCUUAUAACCGUCUUCGGACAAUCUUGACAUUUUGACCUCAAAUCAGGUAGGACUACCCGCUGAACUUAA
rnacentral:misc_RNA from 1 species